UACGUAGGGUGCGAGCGUUGUCCGGAAUUACUGGGCGUAAAGAGCUCGUAGGUGGUUUGUCGCGUUGUCCGUGAAAACUCACAACUCAAUUGUGGGCGUGCGGGCGAUACGGGCAGACUGGAGUACUGCAGGGGAGACUGGAAUUCCUGGUGUAGCGGUGGAAUGCGCAGAUAUCAGGAGGAACACCGGUGGCGAAGGCGGGUCUCUGGGCAGUAACUGACGCUGAGACACGAAAGCGUGGGUAGCAAACAGG
rnacentral:rRNA from 1 species